GGGUGGGGGGAAAAUAAAGUAGGUGCUGCUUGAAAUACCCGAGUGUGUUUGCCUUGACAGACCCCUGGCAGCAAAACGGUUGACAACUUCUGAAUAAUGGUAAAAGGGAGAGGAACCUGCUCUUUAAGAACCUCAAACAACUACAGGGAGGGUGUGAUGACAAAAGCCAGUUUGUGCUGCCCCUCACAGUCUGAUACAAGCAAAAGGCAACACCGUGUCGAGGAGAGUCCCUGUUUGGCUGCCCAGCAAAGCCAAGGUGUCUCGUUGGGAUGCUGGGCAGGGGGCACCCACCUUCCAGCCCCUGCCCCAUUGCCUCGGUGCUGGGGACAACGCACCCAGCACGUGGGUGAAGAACCCUGGCCGUGGGCUGGGGGAGAGGAGACCAGAUUCAUCCUUCCUGUAGCAGCGUUUGGACCGGCAUCAUUUGUGCAUGCUUGAGGGCUGCUGCCACCACAAAAGCAGGGACUGGACACACCGAUUCUGAGAUGGUGGGGACCCUUUGCUGGGUCUAACUGGUUUCCCGCCUGCCCUUCCAGCCUUGGCCACUUCAGCCUGCUCCCACCUCCAGCGGCCCCUCAGCAACUCCUGAGGAAAACUGCUGAGUAUUUGGGUUUAGGGUUGGGUUUUGUGGGUGUUUUUUUUUCCCCAUGUGGAUAAAUUCAAGCAUUCAGUUUCCAGCGAGCUUCACCAGGAGCAGCUCCGGCACUCCUGGAGGGACAGGGGAAGGGAACAGGGAUACAGGAGAGAAAAAGAGUGACUGGAGGCAAGAAACAUCCCCAGCUGGUUCCCCUGCCUCUAUAGACAUGUGGGAUUGUACCUAAACUGGUUUAAAAUAACGUAGCAGCCCUGGGGAGCUGCAGAGGGAGUCACCCCAGUGUUUGCUGGGUUUCACGAGUGGGCUCUGCAGCCUGCCCUGGUACGUGGUAUGUCAGUGCCGUGAGAUACCUGGAAAACAAGUUUAACUCCAGCCUGUCCGUGCUCCCGGUGAGCUCUGGUCCGUGCAGACAGGCAGCAGAGUGUAAUUAUGGACUAGCCAGGUCCGGAGCUAAACCCUGCCUCAGGGGGGCCUUUCUUCCACUGUCCCUCUUACAGUUGCAUCUGGGGCCCGUUGACUUCAACCUGCUGGUCUGCUUCAUGCCCAGUGGCCAGUGAACACAGGUAUUUCCUGCCCUUUGGCUGGGCUAGCGAGGUGCCAGCCUCCAGCCGGUGAGUGCCGGUGGCCACCACAGGGCGAAGCCCAUCCUGAAAUGCUGGCGAUGGGGAGGUUCAUGCCAGGAGGUGGUGGUGGAACUCAGUGUUGGUGUUAAUGCCCAUCACCCUCAAUCGCUGAGCCUCCACUCUCCCCCAGGAAAAUCGCCCUUCCCACUGAAAUCCCUGAUGAUGCUGUAAUUACGGAAUCUGCUACGUGCAGAUAUUUUUAAUGCAGCUGAGUAAAUGU
rnacentral:lncRNA from 1 species